rnacentral:rRNA from 1 species
AGUAAUGCUUGGGAAUCUAGCUUAUGGAGGGGGAUAACUACGGGAAACUGUAGCUAAUACCGCGUAGAAUCGAGAGAUGAAAGUGUGGGACCUUCGGGCCACAUGCCAUAGGAUGAGCCCAAGUGGGAUUAGGUAGUUGGUGAGGUAAGGGCUCACCAAGCCGACGAUCUCUAGCUGGUCUGAGAGGAUGACCAGCCACACUGGGACUGAGACACGGCCCAG